AUUGAACGCUGGCGGCAUGCCUUACACAUGCAAGCCGAACGGCAGCACGGGUGCUUGCACCUGGUGGCGAGUGGCGAACGGGUGAGUAAUACAUCGGAACAUGUCCUGUAGUGGGGGAUAGCCCGGCGAAAGCCGGAUUAAUACCGCAUACGAUCCACGGAUGAAAGCGGGGGGCCUUCGGGCCUCGCGCUAUAGGGUUGGCCGAUGGCCGAUUAGCUGGUUGGUGGGGUAAAGGCCUACCAAGGCGACGAUCAGUAGCUGGUCUGAGAGGACGACCAGCCACACUGGGACUGGGACACGGCCCAGACUCCUACGGGAGGCAGCAGUGGGGAAUUUUGGACAAUGGGCGAAAGCCUGAUCCAGCAAUGCCGCGUGUGUGAAGAAGGCCUUCGGGUUGUAAAGCACUUUUGUCCGGAAAGAAAUCCUUGACUCUAAUACAGUCGGGGGAUGACGGUACCGGAAGAAUAAGCACCGGCUAACUACGUG
rnacentral:rRNA from 1 species